rnacentral:rRNA from 1 species
GACGAACGCUGGCGGCGUGCCUAAUACAUGCAAGUAGAACGCACAGUUUAUACCGUAGCUUGCUACACCAUAGACUGUGAGUUGCGAACGGGUGAGUAACGCGUAGGUAACCUGCCUGGUAGCGGGGGAUAACUAUUGGAAACGAUAGCUAAUACCGCAUAAUAUUAAUUAUUGCAUGAUAAUUAAUUGAAAGGUGCAAUUGCACCACUACCAGAUGGACCUGCGUUGUAUUAGCUAGUAGGUGAGGUACGGCUCACCUAGGCGACGAUACAUAGCCGACCUGAGAGGGUGAUCGGCCACACUGGGACUGAGACACGGCCCAGACUCCUACGGGAGGCAGCAGUAGGGAAUCUUCGGCAAUGGACGAAAGUCUGACCGAGCAACGCCGCGUGAGUGAAGAAGGUUUUCGGAUCGUAAAGCUCUGUUGUAAGAGAAGAACGGGUGUGAGAGUGGAAAGUUCACACUGUGACGGUAUCUUACCAGAAAGGGACGGCUAACUACGUG